rnacentral:rRNA from 1 species
CCUACGGGAGGCAGCAGUGGGGAAUAUUGGGCAAUGGAGGAAACUCUGACCCAGCAACGCCGCGUGAAUGAUGAAGGUCUUCGGAUUGUAAAGUUCUUUUCUAAGGGAAGAAGAAAGUGAGGGUACCUUAGGAAUAAGCCUCGGCUAAUUACGUGCCAGCAGCCGCGGUAAUACGUAGGAGGCAAGCGUUAUCCGGAAUGACUGGGCGUAAAGGGGGCGGAGGUGGUUUGACAAGUUGGUAGCGUAACUCCGGGGCUCAACCUCGGCACUAAUACCAAAACUGUCGGACUUGAGUGCAGGAGGGGCAAAUGGAAUUCCUAGUGUAGCGGUGGAAUGCGUAGAUAUUAGGAGGAACACCAGUGGCGAAGGCGAUUUGCUGGACUGUAACUGACACUGAGGCACGAAAGCGUGGGGAGCAAACAGGAUUAGAUACCCGUGUAGUC